rnacentral:rRNA from 1 species
GGUGAGCUACCCCGAGACAGCCUAUAUUAAUUUAGGGCUAACCCGUCUCUGUGGCAAAAGAGUGGGAAGAGCUCCGGGUAGAAGUGAAAGACCUACCGAACCUGGUGAUAGCUGGUUGACUGAGAAAUGGAUAGAAGUUCAGCCUCGCACACCCCAAACCAAAAAAUACUAUCACCAAGAUAUUAAGGGAAACGUACGAGAGUUAGUUAAAAGGGGUACAGCCCUUUUAACAAAGGAUACAACCUUUACAGGAGGAUAAAGAUCAUAAUGUAUAAGAUAUACUGUUCUAGUGGGCCUGAAAGCAGCCACCUAAACAGAAAGCGUUAAAGCUCGGACAGAAGGAAGUUUAUUAUACUGAUAAAAAAUCUUAUUCCCCUAGCUAUAUCAGACCAACCCAUGCCUCCAUGGAAGAGAUUAUGCUAAAAUGAGUAAUAAGAAGACCCGCUCUUCUCCCAGCACAAGUGUAAACCAGAUCGGACUGACCACUGGAACUUAACGAACCCAACCCCAGAGGGUAGUGUGAUUAACAAAAAACUCAAGAAGGCCUCACAUAACUAAUCGUUAACCCCACACUGGAGUGCUAUUUUAAGGGAAAGACUAAAAGAAGGGGAAGGAACUCGGCAAACACAAGCCUCGCCUGUUUACCAAAAACAUCGCCUCCUGCAACUAAACUGAGUAUAGGAGGUCCAGCCUGCCCAGUGACUACAGGUUCAACGGCCGCGGUAUCUUGACCGUGCAAAGGUAGCGCAAUCACUUGUCUCUUAAAUAGAGACCUGUAUGAAUGGCUAGACGAGGGCUUAACUGUCUCCCCCUUCCAGUCAGUGAAAUUGAUCUAUCCGUGCAGAAGCGGGUAUAAAUAUACAAGACGAGAAGACCCUUUGGAGCUUAAGGUACAAAAUUCAGCCACGUUAAACAACUCUAUAAGAAGCAAGAACUUAGUGAUAAUGAAAUUUUACCUUCGGUUGGGGCGACCGCGGAGGAAAAACAAGCCUCCGAGUGGACUGGGCCGAAUCCCUGAAGCCAAUAGAGACAUCUAUAAGCCGCAGAACAUCUGACCAAAAAUGAUCCGGCUAAAAGCCGAUCAACGAACCAAGUUACCCAAGGGAUAACAGCGCAAUCCCCUCCCAGAGCCCAUAUCUACGAGGGGGUUUACGACCUCGAUGUUGGAUCAGGACAUCCUAAUGGUGC